UUCUUUAUUCAUACACACCAGGCAAAGGUUAAAUGACAGAGAAACACAGCCCUAGGACACUGCCCUUCAUUUGCACCGAGGGGCCCGUGUCCCCCAUUCGUGUAGGGCUUUAAGACUUUAGUUACAUAAACAUUAUCAAAUAAUCUAAGGGUGGAGGACAUCUGUUGGGGCCUGAUAAGUCCACACCCGUUAGACGCCCAAGAAGCAGCACUUGUUUUUGUACACUGUAAACAUGCAGGGUCUGCAUGACUCCUACCACACACCCCACAGAACAUGCUUUCUGUCACAUACAUCAGAUUUGUCAAGCACAAGUUAUUGACUGGUAUUUUUUAUUUUUCCACACAUGUUAUAAUUUCAACCUCCAAUAUAGGAAGAGACUGCAAGCACCCUCGAUUUUGUUCAAAGACGAUUUAUUGACAUCAACCCUGAACAAAUGUCCAAGGCCAAUCAAGGAAAAGCUACAUCCAAGAAGACUAGCCAAGUAGUCCAUAACAAGAAGAACGCAGUAAACCCUCAUUUUUCCUAUCCACUUUGUAAGUUUCUUUGUGGUGGUGGCCUGCGCCACCACCACCUACUC